GAUGAAGAACGCAGCGAAAUGCGAUAAGUAAUGUGAAUUGCAGAAUUCAGUGAAUCAUCGAAUCUUUGAACGCACAUUGCGCCCCCUGGUAUUCCGGGGGGCAUGCCUGUUCGAGCGUCAUUUCACCACUCAAGCCUCGCUUGGUAUUGGGCGACGCGGUCCGCCGCGCGCCUCAAAUCGACCGGCUGGGUCUUCCGUCCCCUCAGCGUUGUGGAAACUAUUCGCUAAAGGGUGCCGCGGGAGGUCACGCCGCAAAACAACCCCAUUUCUAAGGUUGACCUCGGAUCAGGUAGGGAUACCCGCUGAACUUAAGCAUAUCAAUAAGCGGAGA
rnacentral:misc_RNA from 1 species